AAUAGACAGAAGUUAGGAAAGGGGAACAACAAACAAUCCUUUUAAUACAAGUUAAUUCACUAUCAGCAGCAAAUCAGAAAUGGAUCUUAAAGAUAUUCAGAGAAGUGGCCAUGCAUAACUGAGAGGAGCUACUGCAACUGCAGAGAAGAGAGCAUGAAGGUGAUUGUCUGAGAAACUGGCAAAUGUACAGAUGAGAGUGAGAACACUGGCAUACCAGAGGGGGCCACAGGUGUCACAAAGCUCAGCAAGAGAGGAUUAGUAUUAUGAGGAAUGAAGACAAUGUGAGAGAGCUUGAAUUGCUGCACUGCUUCCUCUGUGGAUAAAAUGGAGAACUUUGAUUUCCAGAUGAGUACGACAGCCUGGAGGGAGCCCCCAUGGUUUCAUCCACAGAAGGGGAACACUCGCUAAAUCACAUGUGCAAUGGAGCUGUGCCAGUUCCACUGCAAGAGGGCCCUCUGGACCUCUGGAGAAAGUGGGCAGUAUUUGUCCCCUAUAGAAUACUGAGAAGUCAGAGGCUGGGAAAGGCAGCCAGAGUUCCAAAUCAGAAGGUGGAUGAAAAAAACCCAACUGUGUUCAUGCUAAUUCUUCUGGUUUUUAUGUUAAAAGGUUAAAUUCAC